AUGAGGCUGGAUGCAGCGCUGGAGGCCAGACCGCUAUCACCUGAAGAGCUACACCUGAGGAAGCAGCUAAAACUAAAGGUUCUUGGGCUGGCAGCAAUUGAAAGGGCUCGCAAGAAGCAGGCCUCCAGGAUUUCUUGGCUCCGCGGAGGAGAUGCAAACUCAAAGUUCUUUCAUGCCCGUGUCCUCUCACGUUGUAGAAAAAACUACAUCCACUCGAUCAAGCACGGAGACGCCAUUGUCACAGAGCCGUGGGAGAAAGCUAAGUUGGCCUUCGAUCACUUCGCCCACGGCCUCGGGGACUCCUGGCAUUGA
rnacentral:rRNA from 1 species